rnacentral:rRNA from 1 species
GAUGAACGCUGGCGGCGUGCUUAAUACAUGCAAGUCGAACGGAGACAGUAGCAAUAUUGUCUUAGUGGCGAACGGGUGAGUAACGCGUUGAUGACCUGCCCCGAAGAGGGGGAUAACAGUCCGAAAGGAUUGCUAAUACCCCAUGUGGUCAUUUGGAUUAGAUGCCUUAUGACUAAACGGAUUUAUUCGCUUCGGGAGGGGCCUGCGUCCCAUCAGCUAGUUGGUAAGGUAAUGGCUUACCAAGGCGAUGACGGGUAGGGGACCUGAGAGGGUGGCCCCCCACAAUGGAACUGAAACACGGUCCAUACACCUACGGGUGGCAGCAGUAGGGAAUAUUGGUAAUGUGCGAAAGCGCGAACCAGCAACGCCGCGUGCGCGAUGAAGGCCUUCGGGUUGUAAAGCGCUUUUUAUGGGGAUGAGGAAGGACAGUACUCAUAGAAUAAGCCUCGGCUAACUACGUGCCAGCAGCCGCGGUAAGAC